GGGCCCUUAGCUCAGCGGUCAGAGCAGUGGACUCAUAAUCCAUUGGUCGCAGGUUCGAAUCCUGCAGGGCCCACCA
rnacentral:tRNA from 2 species